rnacentral:rRNA from 1 species
GACGAACGCUGGCGGCGUGCCUAAUACAUGCAAGUAGAACGCUGAAGCGAGGAGCUUGCUCUUCUUGGAUGAGUUGCGAACGGGUGAGUAACGCGUAGGUAACCUGCCUUGUAGCGGGGGAUAACUAUUGGAAACGAUAGCUAAUACCGCAUAACAAUGGAUGACACAUGUCAUUUAUUUGAAAGGGGCAAUUGCUCCACUACAAGAUGGACCUGCGUUGUAUUAGCUAGUAGGUGAGGUAAUGGCUCACCUAGGCGACGAUACAUAGCCGACCUGAGAGGGUGAUCGGCCACACUGGGACUGAGACACGGCCCAGACUCCUACGGGAGGCAGCAGUAGGGAAUCUUCGGCAAUGGGGGCAACCCUGACCGAGCAACGCCGCGUGAGUGAAGAAGGUUUUCGGAUCGUAAAGCUCUGUUGUAAGCCAAGAACGGGUGUGAGAGUGGAAAGUUCACACUGUGACGGUAGCUUACCAGAAAGGGACGGCUAACUACGUG